GAGUUUGAUCCUGGCUCAGGACGAACGCUGGCGGCGUGCCUAAUACAUGCAAGUCGAGCGAAUCUUUUGGGACUUGUCCCUUGAGAUUAGCGGCGGACGGGUGAGUAACACGUGGGUAACCUGCCUGUAAGACUGGGAUAACUUCGGGAAACCGGAGCUAAUACCGGAUAGUUUCUUUUCUCGCAUGAGGGAAGAUGGAAAGAUGGUUCUGCUAUCACUUACAGAUGGACCCGCGGCGCAUUAGCUAGUUGGUGAGGUAACGGCUCACCAAGGCCACGAUGCGUAGCCGACCUGAGAGGGUGAUCGGCCACACUGGGACUGAGACACGGCCCAGACUCCUACGGGAGGCAGCAGUAGGGAAUCUUCCGCAAUGGACGAAAGUCUGACGGAGCAACGCCGCGUGAGUGAUGAAGGUUUUCGGAUCGUAAAACUCUGUUGCCAGGGAAGAACGCCAGGGAGAGGCAAUGCUCUCUGGGUGACGGUACCUGAGAAGAAAGCCCCGGCUAACUACGUGCCAGCAGCCGCGGUAAUACG
rnacentral:rRNA from 1 species